GCAUACAUUCGAAACGGGUGUCCAUCACAAGUCUGAUUUGGGGACUGCCUGCUUCUCACCCUUUCCUGCCGCCGGUGUAAAAUUUUCUUCCUGGAAGCCAGAGGGGCCACAAUAGAAAACGUUCCACGUGGUACAUCCUUGCCCACAUGUUCCAUGAUGAUGUUGGGAAGGGGAUAAAUUGGAAAGGGAUCACUAUGCAACACUCUAUACCAGAUGGCAUUGGAGAUGUUGCUCCUGUAUGCUGUGAGAGAGUCAUAUCUCCCGUGCUGCCACAUGAUAUCUUAAAGCAGAAAAUAUGGUGUUUCAACCUGGCAGCAGAGAGAGGAGGAAGCUCAAGGUGUGCCACUAUCAGCAUCCUUAUGGAAGAUCAGCCCACUGUUAAUUCACCUUAAAAAAGUAUUUUGGUAUGUGGGGUUUCUACCUGUCUUGAAACAUGUUAAAGUUAUAAUCCUUGAGGUUUUCAUUAAAUAAAAAAUAUUUUUGAUAA